ACCAUUUGCAUGUUGGUCUGCAGGGAGCAUAGUCUACUUAAAAAUGGAUCUCGCAGCAAAUCUGAGUUUGAGGGACCAUUCGCAUUUAAAUUGGUAUGCCAGGUCCAAGUUCUAAAAUGCUGGGAGGGGGUUCUCUUUCAUUUGGACGAAACAGUGGGAUGGAACUCCUUGGUGUGCAGGAUCUGGGGUACUUCGGAUGAUUUAAGGCUACAGAUUACACACAAAACUCUCGGUCAAGGAGUGUGAUGACUGGCGAGCAGAUGGCUGCCUUCCAUCCAUCGUCCACCCCCAACCCGCUGGAGAGGCCCAUCAAGAUGGGCUGGCUGAAGAAGCAGAGGUCCAUCGUGAAGAACUGGCAGCAGAGGUACUUUGUGCUGAGGGCUCAGCAGCUCUGCUACUACAAGGACGAAGAGGACACGAAGCCCCAGGGCUGCAUGUAUCUACCAGGAUGUACAAUCAAGGAGAUCGCCACAAACCCAGAAGAAGCUGGGAAGUUUGUCUUUGAAAUCAUUCCAGCCUCAUGGGACCAGAAUCGCAUGGGACAGGACUCCUAUGUCCUCAUGGCCAGCUCCCAGGCGGAGAUGGAGGAGUGGGUUAAAUUCCUCAGGAGAGUUGCUGGCACACCCUGUGGAGCAGUGUUUGGCCAACGCUUGGAUGAGACUGUGGCCUAUGAACAGAAAUUCGGUCCCCAUCUUGUGCCCAUCCUGGUGGAGAAAUGUGCAGAGUUCAUCCUGGAGCACGGCCGGAAUGAAGAGGGCAUCUUCCGUCUGCCUGGCCAGGACAACCUGGUGAAACAGCUGAGAGAUGCUUUUGAUGCUGGGGAGCGGCCCUCCUUUGACAG
rnacentral:sRNA from 1 species